rnacentral:rRNA from 1 species
CCUACGGGUGGCAGCAGUGGGGAAUAUUGGACAAUGGGGGGAACCCUGAUCCAGCGACGCCGCGUGAGUGAAGAAGUAUUUCGGUAUGUAAAGCUCUAUCAGUAGGGAAGAAAAUGACGGUACCUGACGAAGAAGCCCCGGCUAACUACGUGCCAGCAGCCGCGGUAAUACGUAGGGGGCAAGCGUUAUCCGGAUUUACUGGGUGUAAAGGGAGCGUAGACGGUGUAGCAAGUCUGCUGUGAAAGUGCGGGGCCCAACCCUGGGAGUGCAUUGGAAACUGUUGAGCUGGAGUGCAGGAGAGGUGAGCGGAAUUCCUAGUGGAGCGGUGAAAUGCGUAGAUAUUAGGAGGAACACCAGUGGCGAAGGCGGCUUACUGGACUGUAACUGACGUUGAGGCUCGAAAGCGUGGGGAGCAAACAGGAUUAGAUACCCGAGUAGUC